CAAAAUUCACAUGUUGAAAUUCAAUCCUAAUUGCAGUGGUAUUGGGAAGUGAGACCUUUGGAAGUUGAUUGGGUCUGCAGCCUCAGGAACUGGAUCAGUGCCUGUAUAAAAGAAGCCUGAGGGAACCCAUUCACCCCUUCUGCCACAUGAGAACAUAGCAAGAAGGCUCCAUCUAUGAGAAAGGGCCCUUAUCACACAUCAAAUCUGCUGGCACCUUGAACUUGGACUUCCCAGAAUCCAGAACUACUCAGACUACAACAUUGGCUCUUCCUGGGUCUUAAGUCUGCCAGACUUCAGGUUGGGACCACACCAUCGCCUCUCCUCAGUUUCCAGCUCGCCAAUUUACCCUGCAGAUCUUGCAACUUGUCAGCCUCCAAAACCAUGAGUCAAGAUCAUCAACACAGGAAAAGAAGCAAGAGGAAAUGUUUCAGUUUUAAAGAAUGGACAAAAAGGGCCACAGCCAUGAACCUAAGACAGAAAGGAAAUAUAUUUCUUCUCCCCUACAACCCUUAGGAGACUAUAUUUUGUUUUUAGUAUUCUGAGGGGAAUAUAAAAGAUAAGGUUCAAACAACCAUAACAAGAAAGAUAAAAUCUGAAAACGUUAGAUGUUUAUGCAUUUUGAACUUCUAGGAGUGAAUAAACUAAAUUUUCUGAAGGUAUUUUCUUCAAGGUCUUAUUGAUCUGCUCCCCUCACCAGCUGAGAAUCCUGAGAGGAAAAGAAGUGAAGAAUAUGCUAAAAAGUCAUUUAGAUAGGAACACUUCUUCCUAGCUAAUUAUCUUAUGUAUUGAUACAUAAAAUAUUAACAGUCAAGAACACAAUCCCAUAUACAAUAGCCACAAAAAGAAUAAAAUAUAUAGGAAUACAGCUAACCAGGGAGGUGAAAGAUCUCUAUGAUGAGAAUUACAAAAUACUAUUCAAAGAAAUUAGAGAUGACACAAACAACUGGAAAAACAUUUCAUGCUCAGGAAUACGAAGAAUCAAUAUUGUUAAAUGGCCAUACUUCCCAAAGCCGUCUACAGAUUCAAUGCUAUUCCUAUCAAACUACAAAUGACA
rnacentral:lncRNA from 10 species